UAAACGCUGGCGGCGCACAUAAGACAUGCAAGUUGAACGGACUUAAUCGAAAUAUUUAUAUUUUGAAGCGGUUAGUGGCGGACUGGUGAGUAACGCGUAAGGAACCUGCCUAUUAGAGGGGAAUAACAGUGAGAAAUCAUUGCUAAUACCGCAUAUGCCAUAGAUAUCACAUGAUAACAGUGGGAAAGGAGCAAUCCGCUAAUAGAUGGCCUUGCGUCUGAUUAGAUAGUUGGUGGGGUAACGGCCUACCAAGUCGACGAUCAGUAGCCGGACUGAGAGGUUGAACGGCCACAUUGGGACUGAGAUACGGCCCAGACUCCUACGGGAGGCAGCAGUCGGGAAUAUUGCGCAAUGGAGGAAACUCUGACGCAGUGACGCCGCGUAUAGGAAGAAGGUUUUCGGAUUGUAAACUAUUGUCGUUAGGGAAGAGAAAGGACAGUACCUAAGGAGGAAGCUCCGGCUAGCUACGUG
rnacentral:rRNA from 1 species